CCCUUAGACGUUCUGGGCCGCACGCGCGCUACACUGACGAAGGCAACGAGCUUUCCUUUACCGAAAGGUACGGGUAAUCUUUUGAAACUUCGUCGUGCUGGGGAUAGAUCCUUGCGAUUAUUGAUCUUAAACGAGGAAUUCCUAGUAAGCGCAAGUCAUCAACUUGCGUUGAUUACGUCCCUGCCCUUUGUACACACCGCCCGUCGCUACUACCGAUUGAAUGGUUUAGUGAGGCCUUCGGAUCCGCGACUCGUUUUGUGGAGAAGUUGGACAAACUCAGUCAUUUAGAGGAAGUAAAAGUCGUAACA
rnacentral:rRNA from 1 species